rnacentral:rRNA from 1 species
CGAGAGCGACCGGUGCUUGCACUGGUCAAUCUAGUGGCGAACGGGUGAGUAACACGUGGGUAACCUGCCCAUCAGAGGGGGAUAACAUCCGGAAACGGAUGCUAAAACCGCAUAGGUCUUCGAACCGCAUGGUUUGAAGAGGAAAAGAGGCGCAAGCUUCUGCUGAUGGAUGGACCCGCGGUGCAUUAGCUAGUUGGUGAGGUAACGGCUCACCAAGGCCGUGAUGCAUAGCCGACCUGAGAGGGUGAUCGGCCACAUUGGGACUGAGACACGGCCCAAACUCCUACGGGAGGCAGCAGUAGGGAAUCUUCCGCAAUGGACGCAAGUCUGACGGAGCAACGCCGCGUGAGUGAAGAAGGUUUUCGGAUCGUAAAACUCUGUUGUUAGAGAAGAACAAGUGCUAGAGUAACUGUUAGCGCCUUGACGGUAUCUAGCCAGAAAGCCACGGCUAACUACGUGCCAGCAGCCGCGGUAAUACGUAGGUGGCAAGCGUUGUCCGGAUUUAUUGGGCGUAAAGCGAGCGCAGGCGGUUCCUUAAGUCUGAUGUGAAAGCCCCCGGCUCAACCGGGGAGGGUCAUUGGAAACUGGGGAACUUGAGUGCAGAAGAGGAGAGUGGAAUUCCAUGUGUAGCGGUGAAAUGCGUAGAUAUAUGGAGGAACACCAGUGGCGAAGG